ACCGAAAUACGUAGCUCAGUUGGGAGAGCGUUAGACUAUAGAUCGAAAAGUCCCUCGUUCGAUCCCAGGUUCCGGCA
rnacentral:tRNA from 1 species